CACCGCCCGUCACACCAUGGGAGUUGAUUGCUCCAGAAGUGGCCGCGCUAACCGCAAGGGAGGCAGGUCCCUAAGGAGUGGUCGAUGACUGGGUG
rnacentral:rRNA from 1 species